GACGUAGGGGGCGAGCGUUGUCCGGAAUCACUGGGCGUAAAGAGCUCGUAGGCGGGAUUGCGCGUCGUGGAGUAAAUCCAUCUGCUUAACGGAUGGCUCAUCUGCGAUACGGCAAUUCUUGAGGACAGAAGAGGAAAGCGGAAUUCCGAGUGUAGCGGUGAAAUGCGUAGAUAUUCGGAGGAACACCAGUGGCGAAGGCGGCUUUCUGGUCUGAUUCUGACGCUGAGGAGCGAAAGCCAGGGGAGCAAACGG
rnacentral:rRNA from 1 species